GAAACGUGUUCGAGAAGACACCGACUCACCGGACUUGGACCGACCGGAUAGCCACGUCAUCACGAGCAGCAUCACACUAGUUGCUUCAUAUUUCGACUCAUCUUCGUCCACGUGUCCAUUUCAAACGGCUAGCUUUCCCUCCAUCUCACUAUUUUAUUUUUAACCGCCAAAAGGAUAACUUUAAUCUUCAACCCACGCGAGGGAAGAUCUUUUUUAUUAGAAGACUCCAGCAUUUUCUGGCGCUAACCGCGUAGAUAUUUACCAUUUUAUUUUUUAUUAUUUAUUUAUUUAUUAAUUAAUUACUAUUAUAUAUUCUAUUUGUAAUUUUAAUUACUGCCAAAGGUGGUCUUAAGG
rnacentral:misc_RNA from 1 species